GAUUUCUGGUUUGGUGCGCCUGGCCCACUGCCAUCAGGCAUGUGAGUGCCGGUGCGCGCCUGCCAUCCCUUCUAGAGAACGGUUCUGCCCUUUACUGGUCGGAGUCGCGAUCUAGAUCUUUUACUUUGAAAAAAUUAGAGUGUUUCAAGCAGGCUUUAUGCUAUGAAUACAUUAGCAUGGAAUAAUAAUUUAGGACUUCGGUUCUAUUUUGUUGGUUUCUAGGACUGAAGUAAUGAUUGAUAGGGAUAGUUGGGGGUGCUAGUAUUCAGCGGCCAGAGGUGAAAUUCUCGGAUUCGCUGAAGACUAACUUAUGCGAAAGCAUU
rnacentral:rRNA from 1 species